CUCGAACGUCCGAUAUCCUGCGGAACGAGACCAGGCAAAGCAGAACUGUGAGUUUUGCUGAGAGUUGGCGGAGAGAGAGCCUGUCGUUAGGUGGCCAGUCCCUCAGGUACCCCUGAAAGCGUCUAAGCCACCAGAGUGAGACGAUUGUCCAAAAUGAGUGGAUGGGGGUUGCCUUUAGGAUCUGUGAGAUUGUACUGAUGAUGAGGUAGCAGGAGGGGAUUUUUGUAUGAUAGGGCUAGGAGCUCCGGGAACCAUGGCUGUCCCCUCCAUAAUGGAGUGAUGAGCACCAGAGAGGUUUGUUGACAUCUCAAGUAGAGGAUGGUUCUCGCUAUCAUGGCAAAGGGAGGGAAGGCGUAUGCUCCCUUGUUCGGCCAUGGUUGUAGGAAUGCGUCUACUGCUUUGCUCUCCGGGGCUGGGAGCCAGCUGAAGUAUAGUGUUGUUUGUCUGUUGUUGCGGGACGCAAACAGAUCCAGGUGAAGCGGACCUCGACGUUCCGCUAUGCCGUUGAAGAUCUGUGGAUCUAUUCUCAAGUCGCUGGUGUCCCGCCAGUGGCGUGAGAACCAGUCCACCGUGAAGUUCGUCUCCCCUGGGAGGUAUUCCGCUGUGAGGGAGAUAUUGCGGGGUAGACAGAAGUCGAAGAUCUCCUUCGUUAUUUCCGACAGAAGACGGGAGCGGG